CCUACUGGCGGCAGCAGUGGGGGAUAUUGCACAAUGGGGGAAACCCUGAUGCAGCGACGCCGCGUGUGGGCAGACGGUCCUCUUGAUUGUAAACCACUGUCCCCCGGGACGAAGCUUACGGUACCUGGGGCGGAAACUCCGGCUAACUACGUACCAGCAGCCGCGGUAAUACGUAGGGAGAGAGCUGUGUCCGGAAUUACUGGGGGUAAAGGGAGGGUAGGCGGGGAUGCAAGUUGGGUGUCAAAACUACCGGGUCAACUGGUAGUCGCACUCAAAACUGCAGCUCUUGAGUGAAGUAGAGGCAGGCGGAAUUGCUAGUGUAGCGGUGAAAUGCGUAGAUAUUAGGAGGAAAACCAGUGGCGAAGGCGGCCUGCUGGGCUUUUACUGACGCUGAGGCUCGAAAGUGUGGGGAGCAAACAGGAUUAGAUACCCCAGUAGUC
rnacentral:rRNA from 1 species